CCUACGGGAGGCAGCAGUGAGGAAUAUUGGACAAUGGGCGCAAGCCUGAUCCAGCCAUGCCGCGUGCAGGAAGAAGCAUCUAUGGUGUGUAAACUGCUUUUGUACAGGAAGAAACACUCCCUCGUGAGGGAGCUUGACGGUACUGUAAGAAUAAGGACCGGCUAACUCCGUGCCAGCAGCCGCGGUAAUACGGAGGGUCCGAGCGUUAUCCGGAAUCAUUGGGUUUAAAGGGUCCGUAGGCGGUUUAAUAAGUCAGUGGUGAAAUCUGGUCGCUCAACGAUCAAACGGCCAUUGAUACUGUUAGACUUGAAUUAUAAGGAAGUAACUAGAAUAUGUAGUGUAGCGGUGAAAUGCUUAGAUAUUACAUGGAAUACCAAUUGCGAAGGCAGGUUACUACUUAUGGAUUGACGCUGAUGGACGAAAGCGUGGGGAGCGAACAGGAUUAGAUACCCUGGUAGUCCACGCCGUAAACGAUAGGAUACUAGCUGUUCGGAGCAAUCUGAGUGGCUAAGCGAAAGUGAUAGGUAUCCACCUGGGGGUACGUUCGCAGAAUGAAACUCAAGGAUUGAGG
rnacentral:rRNA from 1 species